rnacentral:snRNA from 1 species
CUUGCUUUGGCAACACAUACAAAAACUGGAAUGAUACUGGGAAGAUCAGCAUGGCCCCUGGGCAAGGAUGACCGGCAAAUUCCUGAAGCGUUCCAUAUUUUG